AUUGAACGCUGGCGGUAGGCCUAACACAUGCAAGUCGAACGCGAAAGUCCUUCGGGAUGAGUAGAGUGGCGGACGGGUGAGUAACGCGUAGGAAUCUAUCCUGUAGUGGGGGAUAACGUUUCGAAAGGAACGCUAAUACCGCAUACGCCCCAAGGGGGAAAGCGGGGGAUCUUCGGACCCCGUGCUAUAGGAGGAGCCUGCGUCGGAUUAGCUAGUUGGUGAGGUAAAGGCUAACCAAGGCGACGAUCCGUAGCUGGUCUGAGAGGAUGAUCAGCCACACCGGAACUGAGACACGGUCCGGACUCCUACGGGAGGCAGCAGUGGGGAAUAUUGCGCAAUGGGCGAAAGCCUGACGCAGCCAUACCGCGUGUGUGAAGAAGGCCUUCGGGUUGUAAAGCACUUUCAGUGGGGAGGAAAAGCUGGUGGCUAAUAUCCAUCGGCCGUGACGCCACCCACAGAAGAAGCACCGGCUAAUUCCGUGCCAGCCGCCGCGGUAACAC
rnacentral:rRNA from 1 species